rnacentral:rRNA from 1 species
CGGACGGGUGAGUAAUGCUUGGGAAUCUGGCUUAUGGAGGGGGAUAACUACGGGAAACUGUAGCUAAUACCGCGUAAUAUCUUCGGAUUAAAGGGUGGGACUUUCGGGCCACCUGCCAUAAGAUGAGCCCAAGUGGGAUUAGGUAGUUGGUGGGGUAAAGGCCUACCAAGCCGACGAUCUCUAGCUGGUCUGAGAGGAUGACCAGCCACACUGGAACUGAGACACGGUCCAGACUCCUACGGGAGGCAGCAGUGGGGAAUAUUGCACAAUGGGGGGAACCCUGAUGCAGCCAUGCCGCGUGAAUGAAGAAGGCCUUCGGGUUGUAAAGUUCUUUCGGUGAUGAGGAAGGUGUUUGUUUUAAUAGAACAAGCAAUUGACGUUAGUCACAGAAGAAGCACCGGCUAACUCCGUGCCAGCAGCCGCGGUAAUACGGAGGGUGCGAGCGUUAAUCGGAAUGACUGGGCGUAAAGGGCACGCAGGCGGUGACUUAAGUGAGAUGUGAAAGCCCCGAGCUUAACUUGGGAAUUGCAUUUCAUACUGGGUCGCUAGAGUAUUUUAGGGAGGGGU